AAUGCACCAAUUUGUAAGUCGCUCUGGAUAAGAGCAUCUGCUAAAGGACUUAAA
rfam:Salmo salar isolate Sally breed double haploid chromosome ssa19, whole genome shotgun sequence.